ACCUACGGGACGCAGCAGUGGGGAAUAUUGGACAAUGGGGGGAACCCUGAUCCAGCGACGCCGCGUGAGUGAAGAAGUAUUUCGGUAUGUAAAGCUCUAUCAGCAGGGAAGAAAAUGACGGUACCUGACUAAGAAGCCCCGGCUAACUACGUGCCAGCAGCCGCGGUAAUACGUAGGGGGCAAGCGUUAUCCGGAUUUACUGGGUGUAAAGGGAGCGUAGACGGUGCAGCAAGUCUGAUGUGAAAGGUCGGGGCUCAACCCCGGCCGGCCGUUGAAACUGGUUUUCUAGAGUUGGAGAGAAGUAU
rnacentral:rRNA from 1 species